rnacentral:rRNA from 1 species
CGCUGGCGGCAUGCUUAACACAUGCAAGUCGCACGAAGGCUUCGGCCUUAGUGGCGGACGGGUGAGUAACGCGUAGGAAUCUAUCCAUGGGUGGGGGAUAACUCCGGGAAACUGGAGCUAAUACCGCAUGAUACCUGAGGGUCAAAGGCGCAAGUCGCCUGUGGAGGAGCCUGCGUUUGAUUAGCUUGUUGGUGGGGUAAAGGCCUACCAAGGCGAUGAUCAAUAGCUGGUCUGAGAGGAUGAUCAGCCACACUGGGACUGAGACACGGCCCAGACUCCUACGGGAGGCAGCAGUGGGGAAUUUUGGACAAUGGGGGAAACCCUGAUCCAGCAAUGCCGCGUGUGUGAAGAAGGUUUUCGGAUUGUAAAGCACUUUCGGCGGGGACGAUGAUGACGGUACCCGCAGAAGAAGCCCCGGCUAACUUCGUGCCAGCAGCCGCGGUAAUACGAAGGGGGCUAGCGUUGCUCGGAAUGACUGGGCGUAAAGGGCGUGUAGGCGGUUUGUACAGUCAGAUGUGAAAUCCCCCGGCUUAACCUGGGAGCUGCAUUUGAUACGUGCAGACUAGAGUGUGAGAGAGGGUUGUGGAAUUCUCAGU